rnacentral:rRNA from 1 species
CUAUACAUGACUCUGCGCAUAUCAAUAAGCGGAGGAAAAGAAACUAACAAGGAUUCCCCUAGUAACGGCGAGUGAAGCGGGAAGAGCUCAAAUUUGAAAUCUUAAAGGGUUUCCCUUUACGAAUUGUAGUUUAAAGAAGCUGCUUUUCUGUUGAGGUUUUGGUAAAAGUUCUUUGGAAUAGGACAUCAUAGAGGGUGAGAAUCCCGUAUUUGACCUUUACUUUCAACUUUGUGAUACACUUCAAAGAGUCGGAUUGUUUGGGAAUGCAGUCCAAAAUGGGUGGUAAAUUUCAUCUAAAGCUAAAUAUUGGCGAGAGACCGAUAGCGAACAAGUACCGUGAGGGAAAGAUGAAAAGAACUUUGAAAAGAGAGUUAAACAGUACGUGAAAUUGUCAAAAGGGAAGCGUUUGACACCAGUGUUGUUUUUCUGAAAAUCAAUUAAAGAACUGUUUAUGCUAAGCUGUUUAGACUUUAUCAGCUAUCUGUUUAGUUUUGAGCUUUUCUUUAAUGCACUUUUCAGUUAACAAGUCAACAUCAAUUUCUUUUGCUGUAAAAAAGCUUGAGGAAGGUGGCUUGAGAUUCGUCUUAAGUGUUUAUAGCCUCUUGCCUAUGCAGUCGGAGAGAUUGAGGUCUGCAGCGUAGAUCCUUCGGGGCUAAAUGCAUUUGUGCUAAGUUAUAGCAUUUUAUAGACAACUUGUUGACUAUGAUUUGUCUUGUAGCUUACUCGCUUAUGUUAUUUUACCUACGCUUAGGAUGUUGAUCUACAGAGCGAGAGU